CAGACUUAAAAUAGUUAUUUGGUUAGGGAUUGGCUAUUUCUGAGUUCCUCUGAAUUCAGAAUAGGAAGUAGGCUGACAAUUUAUGGGUGCUUUUUUUUCUCCUCCCUCCAUGCCUCAGAUUCCUGCCCUUCCUCGAGAGAAGCCCCCAGGAGACAAACCAGUGUCGCUUGUGUUCCUCACAGCUUAUCUCUGGUAAGCAGGGCUCUAGUUUUCAAACCUAAAGGUCUUCCAGAUGGAUGCAGAGGGGAGAGCUACAGAUGCUGAAUGUUUUGGAGAGAGAAGUCCAAAAAGACACUUAACCAAGGUCAUUGUGAUCUAUCUCAAUUACUGAGAAGAGGAUAAAAAUCAAGAUUCCACAAUGCACGUCCCCUGUUCUGCACAGAGGACAUU